rnacentral:snoRNA from 1 species
CUGCAGUGAUGAGCAUUUGAGGUGGCUGAUCUGGUAUUGCUUUUCCUCCGGGGAGAGCUCUGACCAGGGAAUGAUCUCAUCUUAAUCUUCUCUCUGAGCAG